UUUUACAACAACAUAUGGCGCCCAACAAAU
rnacentral:piRNA from 1 species